UAAAACGACUCUCGGCAACGGAUAUCUCGGCUCUCGCAUCGAUGAAGAACGUAGCGAAAUGCGAUACUUGGUGUGAAUUGCAGAAUCCCGUGAACCAUCGAGUCUUUGAACGCAAGUUGCGCCCGAAGCCUUCGGGCCGAGGGCACGUCUGCCUGGGCGUCAC
rnacentral:rRNA from 13 species